UACAGGGGGUGCAAACGUUGCUCGGAAUUAUUGGGCAUAAAGCGCACGUAGGCGGUUUGUUAUGUCGGAUGUGAAAGCCCUUGGCUCAACUGAGGAAGUGCAUCCGAAACUGGCAAGCUAGAGUAUGUAAGAGGGUCGCGGAAUUCCCGGUGUAGAGGUGAAAUUCGUAGAUAUCGGGAGGAACACCGGUGGCGAAGGCGGCGACCUGGGACAAUACUGACGCUGAGGUGCGAAAGCGUGGGGAGCAAACAGG
rnacentral:rRNA from 1 species